GGCAAUAACGGACUGGUGUGCCUUUCAUAUAUAAAGCACACAAGCUCAUGAGCUCCAGUGUUACUGUGAGAUUACGUUCACACACAGUAAUGAAGUGGAUAGAGAAUCUCCAGAUUUGGUCUUUCUUUGUGUCAAUUUACCUGCUGACACAGGCUGAAUGUGGUCCUGUUGAAGCAGCCAUAGCUAGGAGUAAUGAAAAAGAUGGUCCGAUUAUGGCAAAUAGCGAUUUCACAAGAGAAACAAGAUCCAUAGAGGUGUGUCUGUUUUUUUAUCUUUAUUUUUUAUUUUUUUACAUAUCAUUUCCAUUGUACAUGCAUGCACUUUUAAAUGUAGGUACUGUUUUAAAAUACAUUUUCAUUAUCUCUCUGUAAUCUACUAAGGACU